UCAAUUGCCGGCGACCGGCGCACGGGUGAGUAACGCGUAUCCAACCUUCCGUACACUCAGGGAUAGCCUUUCGAAAGAAAGAUUAAUACCUGAUGGUAUGAUGAGAUUGCAUGAUAGCAUCAUUAAAGAUUUAUCGGUGUACGAUGGGGAUGCGUUCCAUUAGGUAGUAGGCGGGGUAACGGCCCACCUAGCCAACGAUGGAUAGGGGUUCUGAGAGGAAGGUCCCCCACAUUGGAACUGAGACACGGUCCAAACUCCUACGGGAGGCAGCAGUGAGGAAUAUUGGUCAAUGGACGAGAGUCUGAACCAGCCUAGUAGCGUGAAGGAUGAAGGUCCUACGGAUUGUAAACUUCUUUUAUAAGGGAAUAAACCCUCCCACGUGUGGGAGCUUGUAUGUACCUUAUGAAUAAGCAUCGGCUAACUCCGUGCCAGCAGCCGCGGUAAUACGGAGGAUGCGAGCGUUAUCCGGAUUUAUUGGGUUUAAAGGGGGCGCAGACGGGUCGUUAAGUCAGCUGUGAAAGUUUGGGGCUCAACCUUAAAAUUGCAGUUGAUACUGGCGUCCUUGAGUGCGGUUGAGGUGUGCGGAAUUCGUGGUGUAGCGGUGAAAUGCUUAGAUAUCACGAAGAACUCCGAUUGCG
rnacentral:rRNA from 1 species